AAAGGUGAAGGGAAGGUUAAUCAAUAAGGUAACAGGUUCAGGGAAGGGGAGUAAAGUAAGUAGGCAGAGGAGUUCAAUCGAAUUAAAGGUUCAGGUAAUAUCAGGGAAGGAAGAAGCCACGAGAACGAGUUACAUCACCUAAAAAAUAGGGAGAGGUUAGGUAGUUCAG